UAAUUAAUUGUCUCUGUUAGUAUUCUUUUUCCUGUAUCAACUUGGACUUCGCUAUGCUGGACAAGAAAUGAACCCCCAUCCAAAAUUGCCCACCUUUUCCUUGUGUGAAGUUCGGUGAGAUCCAGUUUACCAUUUCUAUGUCCGCAUAUCCCACACUCUGUUGUUUAUAAAUGGUUGAUGGUUGUGAUAAUGAUGUUCAGAGGAUACAAUCGGAUCGGAGAGCGGAGGAAGAUGAUACGAAAUUAAAGAUAUCUCUCAGAAAGAUACCAUUUUUACUCAUGAUUCUCAAAGCUUUUGUAUUCUCGUAAUUGCAAAGCCUUCAAAA
rnacentral:misc_RNA from 1 species